GCCUUUUCGGGGUGACCGUGAAAACAGGAUUUAAUUUUGCCGACGUUUAUACAUAGAAUUUAUUCACCGGUUCUAGAUAUCGGAGCAUAAACUAGUUUUCUUUUUAAUACAAAAAAACGAAGACAGAAGAAUCCUAACAUAUUUUUUGCUGUUGAUAUUUAUUUAUUCUUUAUUUAUACGUUUUUUUCAGUUCCUUUUUACAAAAAAAAAAAACCAUAACAUUUUGAUUUUUCCUGCUGCAAAGGAUAUUAAUUAGCCGUCCCUCGAUCUUGCUCGAUAUGAUGUCCAGAAGACUGUUACCACUGUCACACACUCGACGCAAUAACGAUGCACUUCUCUUCCGCUUUAUAGCAAAAAAGUAAUCUGUGCGAGAUGUCGCAAACAUUGUGGAUGCACUACAAAAGCUUCUUUUUUGGAACGAAUUUUUGGAAAGAAGUUCCUUAUGGGACGAUGCGGAGGGGUACCCGAACCGGGAAAAAACGUCCGUAACGUAAGAUUUUUAUUAUUUAUGUAUAGUCUUAGUAUGAUGACUAUACAGUGUUUUCUGUAAAGUCUACGUGAUGACGGUUAUUAUUAUUAUUCAUAUAAAUAGCUGUUUCUUUGUAAAUUAUUAUUAUAUAUUUUUGAACAAAUCAUUGUGAAUAAAAUAAAGUUGAUAACUUUGUAAA